AACGAACGCUGGCGGCAUGCCUAACACAUGCAAGUCGAACGAGAUCUUCGGGUCUAGUGGCGCACGGGUGCGUAACGCGUGGGAAUCUGCCCUUUGGUUCGGAAUAACAGUUGGAAACGACUGCUAAUACCGGAUGAUGACGAAAGUCCAAAGAUUUAUCGCCAGAGGAUGAGCCCGCGUAGGAUUAGCUAGUUGGUGUGGUAAAGGCGCACCAAGGCGACGAUCCUUAGCUGGUCUGAGAGGAUGAUCAGCCACACUGGGACUGAGACACGGCCCAGACUCCUACGGGAGGCAGCAGUGGGGAAUAUUGGACAAAGGGCGAAGGCCUGAUCCAGCAAUGCCGCGUGAGUGAUGAAGGCCUUAGGGUUGUAAAGCUCUUUUACCCGGGAUGAUAAUGACAGUACCGGGAGAAUAAGCUCCGGCUAACUCCGUGCCAGCAGCCGCCGUAA
rnacentral:rRNA from 1 species